rnacentral:rRNA from 1 species
UACGUAGGGUGCGAGCGUUGUCCGAAAUUAUUGGGCGUAAAGAGCUUGUAGGCGGUUUGUCGCGUCUGCUGUGAAAAUCCGGGGCUCAACCCCGGACUUGCAGUGGGUACGGGCAGACUAGAGUGUGGUAGGGGAGACUGGAAUUCCUGGUGUAGCGGUGAAAUGCGCAGAUAUCAGGAGGAACACCGAUGGCGAAGGCAGGUCUCUGGGCCACUACUGACGCUGAGAAGCGAAAGCAUGGGGGAGCGAACAGG